rnacentral:lncRNA from 1 species
CAAAGGUACGAAUCGCGCCACACAACUACGAAUCACAUUUUCUUUCAAUUACUCACUGAUUUCUUCAUGUAUUUGACACAACGGUUCAAUUUCACAGUGAAAUCGAGCACCGAAGUCGAACGGCUUCAAUCACUGAAGUCGAAUUAAGCAAAAUCAGUUUCAAAAAUCUUCAAAAGGUACAUUCCUAUGCUUUUUUAGUGAUUUAAGUUAAUAAACAAGUGAAUAAAACUUUCGUAGUGAUUGCAUGUCAGUAUAAUGAUGAUUCUAGGGUUUAUUUUUGAUUUUUGACAAAAAAACUAAUUGUUCAUCUUUAUGUUUCUCUAUAACAGCAAGUAGAUCUUAUUUAUUUGAUUGUGAAAGCAUAAUUUAAUGGCUAGAACUAGAGGACGUAUGUUCAUUUUUGUUUGCGAGGAGAUUUUGAAAAUUUCUUAUGACUGCAUACUUUUUUUAUGAUUUGACUGUUAUUGAAUAUCACACUGCUAAUGAUUGUAUUUUUUAGCACAUUAUGUGUUAGUGAUUGUAUUUAUCAUAAAAUUUUCUGUAAUUGCAUACUUGUUUUUUAUGAUUGUAAGUUUCGGCACAUUAUGUGUUAAUCACUGUCUUCUGACUCAAUUUAUGUUAGUAAUUAUUUGUUUAUAUUUUAGUGAUUGUCAUGCUGAUUGUGAU